GGAAGGUAGCCGGAUAUGGUUGGCCGGGCCUGUUUGCUAAACAGUGCAGCAUUCGUGCUAUAUGGGUUCGAAUCCCUUACCUUCCG
rnacentral:tRNA from 2 species